GAGUUUGAUCGUGGCUCAGAUUGAACGCUGGCGGCAUGCCUUACACAUGCAAGUCGAACGGUAACAGGUCUUCGGAUGCUGACGAGUGGCGAACGGGUGAGUAAUACAUCGGAACGUGCCCGAUCGUGGGGGAUAACGAAGCGAAAGCUUUGCUAAUACCGCAUACGAUCUACGGAUGAAAGCAGGGGACCGCAAGGCCUUGCGCGAACGGAGCAGCCGAUGGCAGAUUAGGUAGUUGGUGGGAUAAAAGCUUACCAAGCCGACGAUCUGUAGCUGGUCUGAGAGGACGACCAGCCACACUGGGACUGAGACACGGCCCAGACUCCUACGGGAGGCAGCAGUGGGAAUUUUGGACAAUGGGCGAAAGCCUGAUCCAGCCAUGCCGCGUGCAGGAUGAAGGCCUUCGGUU
rnacentral:rRNA from 1 species